UUGCAUGUUUGUUCUCAUUUGUUUUUGGCAUAUGCUGUCAUGUAUUUAUUAAGAACCUCUGUCACUUCCUCAUAUCUCUACUUUGGAAGCGUUUACCUUUUGAUAUUCAGUUCUGUUGUAUUUAAAAUGUUUUAUACAAUGUUAGGCUUUAGGGUGUUUGUGCAUGAGGCUUUUAAAGUUGAGGGCAUCUUCUCUCUAAUUUAUUUGGGGUACAUGCUGCCUUCACUCCAUUCAGGAUUUCAGAAUGAGUAUUCCGUGAUUACUAACUAUUUCCAUGGGACAUCAGCUGAAUUCUGCUUUUGAGAUGCCAGUUAUGUAGUGGUAGCUAUAAAGCUUGAAAAUUGUGCGAGCCGCUUGGGGCUUUCAUAUGUCACAUUCACUUUGGGAGUCUUGGAAUCAUUUAUUAAUCUUCUUAUGUGAUGGUGGGGGAGCUUGUGUGAACGAUUUGAAUGUAAGACGAUGAGAGCACUUCAUUCAUUUAAGACGCAUAAGACUUUAUUCAGUGGUUUAUGAGCUUUAUGUCCUUCCGUUUCUUUGUUGGUUGCUAUCUAUCCGAGCUUUAUUUUCUUUUUCCUGUUAGAAUUUAGGAGGUUCCAUAAAUAUAAUAUUAUAGGAAAUAUAAUUGGGUUUCCUUUUUGUUUAACAUGGCAAGUCAAAGAAUGCCUGUAUUAGGCUGAGUUUCUAAUCAGUCUGAAAAUGUUUUUCUCAUUACUUAGUUCUUGUUGUUUUCCUAUUUUAUGACAUGUUCUUGCUUCUCUUCUUAAUUCGUGUGUUGAUUCGUAGAAUAUGGAAUUACUUGCUUUCCAACAUGCUAUUGCUUUUGUCAAGGUCUAUUUCCUUUUUCUUUUAUGGGACUUUUAAAAAAUAAAUUCAUGUUAUAUCUAUGCAAGAAAUUUAUUAGUGGUAUAUGCAGAAUUGGGUAAUGAUCCAAGUAUUUAUUGGUGGUUUGUAUCGGUAAUGUAUAACUAUGAACAAGUAAAUCUAUGUGCUUGUUUUAUGAUCUGGUAUUUUAAACUCCAAUUAGUUUCUUUCUUUCUUUCUUUUUUUUUUUUUUUUUUUUUUUUAAAUAAGUAUGAGUGGAUUGUAAGGUGAGAAUGCUAGGGUGUAAAAAAGCAAGAAAAAUUAGAAGGGUUGAAGCCUUAAGAAAAUGAAUAUUAACCAAAAAGCAAAUUUCAUUUAGACCAUCAUAUGCCAUGAUGGCUCAUUUUAAAUUUCAUUCCUCAAAAUUCAACGUAUUCCUCCAUUUACACAAACUGUUAUAGUAACUGUUCCAAAUGUGUCUUCCACUGUGUACAGACAAUUAUUCGUCUUUAAGCUUGGACCAUAUCUAUGAGGUGAAAAUUUGUUGGUUGCUGAUUAUUUUAAGAAUGUAGCUUGAGUUAUCUGUAUGCUCUUUUGUGAUAGUUGGAACUGUAUUCAUCUGUCUUCGAUACAAGAUGUUGACACUUUCCUGUGUGCAUGAGCUUAAUUGUUUGAUAACUAUAGAGGAGGUGGUUUCAUGUAUUUGUUCAUCUGUAUAUAAUAUAACUGCUAUAUGUUCUGUGUUGUUGGAGGUUAAACAGGUAUUUCAUGGAGCCACCAUUCUUGAGGGAAGGUGGAUAGUUAUGUAGGCAUGCUAUUGACUUUAAAUCCAUUGUAUAGGAAUUGAAUAAGCUAGUUUUAGCUCUGGAGCUGAUACUCUAUUGAAUUGUUUGGAUUUAUGCAAAAGUUAUUUUAUUUUUGCAGGACAUAUGUAUUGUAUUCACAGACUAUUUGAAACAUAAAGAUGUAUUCCUUUUAAA